rnacentral:rRNA from 1 species
GUAGGGAAUAUUGGGCAAUGGAGGCAACUCUGACCCAGCCAUGCCGCGUGCAGGAAGACGGUCCUCUGGAUUGUAAACUGCUUUUGAAUGGGAAGAACAUACGGUUUGCGAACCGUACUGACGGUACUAUUAGAAUAAGCACCGGCUAACUCCGUGCCAGCAGCCGCGGUAAUACGGAGGGUGCAAGCGUUAUCCGGAUUUAUUGGGUUUAAAGGGUGCGUAGGCGGCCUUAUAAGUCGGUGGUUAAAGGUAGCAGCUUAACUGUUUUACAUGCCAUCGAUACUGUAGGGCUUGAGUGAUUUGGAGGUAGCUAGAAUUCCCUGUGUAGCGGUGAAAUGCAUAGAUACGGGGAGGAAUACCGAUUGCGAAGGCAUGUUACUACGAAUUAACUGACGCUGAGGCACGAAAGCGUGGGGAUCAAACAGGAUUAGAUACCCGGGUAGUCC